rfam:Bacillus sp. NRRL B-41092 Bacillus-sp-B-41092_contig_29, whole genome shotgun sequence.
AGGAAAGGAACGCAUGUUAAGUUCGUCACGUCAUGUGACAACACAUGCAUGAUCCGCAUCCUGCACA